GCACCGUUGGUGAACCAGCGGAGGGAUCAUUACCGAGUGCAAACUCAUAACCCUUUGUGAACCUAUAUCUGUUGCUUCGGCGGCUCGCUCUCGGGCGAGCCCGCCGGUAAUAUCAGUAUCUCUGUUUGAACCCGACGAUACUUCUGAGUGUUCUUAGCGAACAGUUAAAACUUUUAACAACGGAUCUCUUGGCUCUA
rnacentral:misc_RNA from 1 species